UUGAUCCUGGCUCAGGACGAACGCUGGCGGCGUGCCUAAUACAUGCAAGUAGAACGCUGAGGAUUGGUGCUUGCACUAAUCCAAAGAGUUGCGAACGGGUGAGUAACGCGUAGGUAACCUACCUCAUAGCGGGGGAUAACUAUUGGAAACGAUAGCUAAUACCGCAUGACACUAGAGUACACAUGUACUUAAGUUAAAAGGAGCAAUUGCUUCACUAUGAGAUGGACCUGCGUUGUAUUAGCUAGUUGGUGAGGUAACGGCUCACCAAGGCGACGAUACAUAGCCGACCUGAGAGGGUGAUCGGCCACACUGGGACUGAGACACGGCCCAGACUCCUACGGGAGGCAGCAGUAGGGAAUCUUCGGCAAUGGACGGAAGUCUGACCGAGCAACGCCGCGUGAGUGAAGAAGGUUUUCGGAUCGUAAAGCUCUGUUGUUAGAGAAGAACGGUAAUGGGAGUGGAAAAUCCAUUACGUGACGGUAACUAACCAGAAAGGGACGGCUAACUACGUGC
rnacentral:rRNA from 1 species